GGUUUUGUUACUGAUCCAAGAGACUUUCUGCAUUGAGCUUUCAGUGAUGCAACCUUGUGUAAGAGUCUAUAAGGUCAUGAUAGAAGAGUUGCUUGGCAAAGGAAUGAAAUCUGCAACAAAUGUGUGCAUGAUUGGGAUUUUUUGCUGAUUUGGGGUUGACUUCGCACAUCAUUGGGAGUGGUUUCAGUUUGAUCCCGAUCAUGACAUUAUUGCGGUAUGUUGGUUAAUCGGUUAUUUGCUGGUAUAUUAUCUGGAAAAUAGUUGGGUGACAUGGGUCGAUGGUUUUGGUGGGUUAUAACUUAUAUGGCAAGAUUCAAGAAUGGGUUUGGGAGUAUGGGGAUGAUGGCUGGAGUGUGAAGAUGGAUGUUGCUGAUAGCCUGAUACUACUCGGAAGCUAGCUAGAUGAAGCUGGAUUUCUGAAGAUAGUAGAUUGGUUUUUGUGUAGUGUAGAUCUGUAGAUUUUGCUUUUGUUUUGUUUUAUACUUUUAUUUAUGGUUUAAGGCUUAGAGUUCAUGUUUUACACAAAUGGAACGUAAAUGUUAUUGAGUUUUGAACACAGUAAUUAUUUUGACCGCUUGCGCGCGCGAUGUUUAA
rnacentral:lncRNA from 1 species